AUCUCCUCUGACCUCCUCUGGAGCUGUACUUAGAGUCUGCCUUCGAACAGCUUUUCUGCCCCUCUUCAUGUAACAAACAUCCAUGUUCAGCUUCUGUGGCAUUUUCUAGUAGUUUGAUAGCUAAAUAUGAUGGUGGGUGUGGGGAGAAGAAAUAGAGUAAAAAUCCUUCCCAUGUUAUUCUUCUUUCCGAAUUUAGCCCAAUGAGCCAAGCACAGCAUGGGUGCUACUGGUGGGUCUUUGCAAAAAGCAGAGGCCAUGGAGCUGAUUCACCUGCAUCCAGCGGAGAACCCAGAGGCUGGCCUGGAAGGUUCUGAGUGAAGGUUCGGCGGUACAAGCCAGCUGGAAUGGUGAGGACCAGAGCAACCCUGCAAACCAACUGUUAAUGGCAGAGCUGCUGCCAGCCUGGGUCUCCGAUGACUGACUGGAGCAGAGCUGCCCACCCAGCUGGAAUGCUUGUCUUGGACUAUUACCUGGGAGACAAAUAAACUCAUUGUUCUUCAA